rnacentral:lncRNA from 1 species
AGAUAAUAACAAGGACACCUGGUAGAUUUAACGUUCUCAAAUGCAAAUUGGGAUGAUUUUUUCUCAUAACCUCCAUUGGCUAAAGAGUAUGAUUUGCAUGAUAAAUGAAGAAGCCUUUCUGUUAAAAAGCUUUCACCUCUGUUGAGCAGUGAAAAGGUACCGCAUCCUGAAUUCAAGUUUGAUCGUAUAUGGAAUCUAAAGAUACCCCCGAAAAUUUGAAGCUUCUUGUGAAUGCUCAUCAUUGACAGAAUUCCAACAAUGUCAUUCUUAAUUAAUAAAGGUGUUCAUAUUGACCAAGUGCAAAGUCUCUUC